ensembl:lncRNA
GAAUAUUGGGAACGGAGCAUUUCGGGAGGAUACAGAUUCAUGUGUCUUAAAAAGGAUUGGUGGUAAUUUUUUUCCGUCCCAUCCAACAAAUCAGAUUUCGAUUGCUCAGUGUAGACUGGCGUGACAAGUGACAUUCUCAAAAGCUCACACUUCAGAAUGCGCCAUCACAAGCCAUCCAAGAACGUGUUUUUAGGAAAGGAGGAAGGUGGCAAUGAAGGCAAAUGAAACCGAAGGAGGUCUGCUGUUGUUCUUGGUGCCAGAUUCCUCUCCAAUGUGGACAAGGCUCACUGUGGGAUUAUCUCAUGAUUGCCCAAAACAAUCAAACCCAGGCUGUGGGGGCUGCAUACUGAAGUGGGGCUGCACUGAUCAUCAUCAUCAUUAUAACCUUGAAAGACCUUCACCGGCAGAGAGAAGAGAGUCGAGAGGGCCUCCGAGUUAUAGGUGUGCCGAUAGCGCCCCCUGUUGAUUCUCCGGCAAACAAACCAAGAAUCC